rnacentral:rRNA from 1 species
AGGACGAACGCUGGCGGCGUGCUUAACACAUGCAAGUCGAGCGGAAAGGCCCUUCGGGGUACUCGAGCGGCGAACGGGUGAGUAACACGUGAGUAACCUGCCCCUAGCUUCGGGAUAGCUCCGGGAAACCGGAAUUAAUACCGGAUAUGACCACGGCCGACAUCGGCCACGGUGGAAAGAUUCAUCGGCUAGGGAUGGGCUCGCGGCCUAUCAGCUUGUUGGUGGGGUAACAGCCUACCAAGGCGACGACGGGUAGCCGGCCUGAGAGGGCGACCGGCCACACUGGGACUGAGACACGGCCCAGACUCCUACGGGAGGCAGCAGUGGGGAAUAUUGCGCAAUGGGCGAAAGCCUGACGCAGCGACGCCGCGUGGGGGAUGAAGGCCUUCGGGUUGUAAACCCUUUCGGCAGGGACGAAGCGAAAGUGACGGUACCUGCAGAAGAAGCGCCGGCUAACUACGUGCCAGCAGCCGC